rnacentral:rRNA from 1 species
AUUAAACGCUGGCGGCAUGCCUUACACAUGCAAGUCGAACGGCAGCACGGGGGAACCUGGUGGCGAGUGGCGAACGGGUGAGUAAAGCAUCGGAACGUGCCCUGGAGUGGGGGAUAACGUAGCGAAAGUUACGCUAAUACCGCAUAUUCUGUGAGCAGGAAAGCAGGGGAUCGCAAGACCUUGCGCUCUGGGAGCGGCCGAUGUCGGAUUAGCUAGUUGGUGGGGUAAAGGCCUACCAAGGCGACGAUCCGUAGCGGGUCUGAGAGGAUGAUCCGCCACACUGGGACUGAGACACGGCCCAGACUCCUACGGGAGGCAGCAGUGGGGAAUUUUGGACAAUGGGCGAAAGCCUGAUCCAGCCAUGCCGCGUGAGUGAAGAAGGCC